UGGGGAAUAUUGGACAAUGGGCGCAAGCCUGAUCCAGCCAUGCCGCGUGAGUGAUGAAGGCCCUAGGGUUGUAAAGCUCUUUCACCGGUGAAGAUAAUGACGGUAACCGGAGAAGAAGCCCCGGCUAACUUCGUGCCAGCAGCCGCGGUAAUACGAAGGGGGCUAGCGUUGUUCGGAUUUACUGGGCGUAAAGCGCACGUAGGCGGACUUUUAAGUCAGGGGUGAAAUCCCGGGGCUCAACCCCGGAACUGCCUUUGAUACUGGAAGUCUUGAGUAUGGUAGAGGUGAGUGGAAUUCCGAGUGUAGAAGGGAAAUUCGUAGAUAUUCGGAGGAACACCAGUGGCGAAGGCGGCUCACUGGACCAUUACUGACGCUGAGGUGCGAAAGCGUGGGGAGCAAACAGG
rnacentral:rRNA from 1 species